GCUCACUUCCAAAAAAAAUUUUUGGUUACCCGCUCAUUACUCCCUCUUCUUCUCAUCUCAGCCAUGUGCCCUAAAUCCCCCAAAUAAAAGUUUGUUUUUCUUCAGCUAAAAUCCCCCAAAUUUCCCAUUUCCAACAACAGACUUCAAGGAAGAAAACCAGAAGAUGGGAUGGAAUCACCCAGACAUAUCGCUGGAAGAAAUGAUGAAACUGAUAGAAGGGUUUGUUGAUAUCCUGGUUUUGUCUUCUGGGUAUCAAUCCUCUGGUCUUCCCGCUCACUAGGACUUUGAUAACAUCAAGCGAGCCUUUCAAUGGGCCCUCUUCUUUGAAAAUAUCAGUAGUUUGUACCCUCUUUGAAAAUGUCUGAUAAGAGAUGCUAAGUCGGAUUUUGUUCCAGAUCUUCAACAGCAGGUAGUAUAUAAUUUUUCCUUUUGAUGAAUACAAUAUUUCCUCUGCGUUUCGAGAAAGACUAGAACACAUGGAACAUUCUAGAAACCAACGUCUAAUGCUCCUCCUGGCGGAGAAAGAGCUGCAAGCGCACAAAUCUCAGGUUUUGGAAUCGAAGCUGGCUCGUAUUGGUUCCAUGGAACGAAGUUUCUUGUUUCUUGAUCAAAAGAUCGCAUCACAAAACUUUAGAAUCUCUGCUCUCAAAUCUGAUAUCGAAAAUCUCGACACCAAAUAUGAUUCUAGUUCUCAAAAAUUGAAGGCUAUGAAAAGUGAGAUUGAGGAGCUUGAAGAGGUGGAGAAGGAGAGAGAUAAGUUUUACGAAUUGAAAAUUUCAGAAAUGAAUGAGUUUAGAGAGAAUGUAAAGAGGUUUUUGACGGAAACUCGAACUCGAAUGCAAGAAUUGAGGAACAGUGUAAACGAGCUGAAGUUAACUUUUAUGGAACUUCCAGGCAACAAUGGUUAUAGAGUAGUUCUGAGAUAGCUGAGGCAGAGAUGAAAAGGGCUGAACUGUUGGCUAUGAAAGAGAGUUUAACAAAAACCUUAGCUUCAAAUCACCAAAGAAGAGCAGAGUUGCAAAAGCAGAUUGAGAAUAUGCUGGUUGCACGAAGUCCAGAGAGAUGGAAACCAAUCCAGUCUGGCAAUAGCAAAGGUGUCUGAUAACAAUAUGGCAGAUUCAUGAGGAUGAGUCAUGUUGCCGAAUCAAAUUUCUACCAUAAUUCCGGGAGACAGCCUUGCAAUAUUGAGAGCAGAGUUAAAGAGUCAAAAUAAGCAUGUGAAAAAUUUGAAGAAAAAAUCUCUUUGGUCUAGAAUUUUGGAAGAGGUCAUGGAGAAGCUUGUAGAUAUCGUUCAUUUCUUGCACUUGGAGAUUCACGAGGCAUUUGGCGCUGCUGGUAAGAAUUUAAAUCAUCAAACUCAAAUCAUUUGGAAAUGGAAUUAUUUUAUCAAGGAAGUUAUGAAGAUAAAAUUAAAAUAUUUAUGCUACAUUUGGUGGGAGUAUUAUUUUUUAUGCAUGUUUUGGUAUAUAAGUUAGCAAUAAACUAAUUCAAUUGGUAAUAUUUAACCAUUCCCAUGACUUAUUUUAGCAAAGAGAAGGAAAAAUAUUUGCUUAUUUUGAAGAGGUCUUAUUUUUUACAGGAGUUUUAUUCAUCUUUCUAAUUUCAAGUUUAAAAUUGUACUAACUAUUCUUUAUGUUAGGUCUAAGCAUUCUUGUAUUUCCCCAGUUUAAAAUUGUACUAAUUUCAAGUUUAAAAUUGUACUAACUAUUUCCCCCGAAAAAAUUACCUUUCAAAUCCGUCAGUUAAAUAAAAUUAUUUGUGAGAUUAAAUAAAUAAAUGUGCUAUAGUCUCUGUAAUUUGCCAUCUAAGCAUUCUUGUAUUUCAUCUAAUUUGUUUGCUGUUUAUGCUAAAGAACUGUGGCCUUUUUUAUCAUUCAUUUUGUGCAGGAAUUAGUGGUGCACCUCAAGAUAACAACAUUAUGCUUUGGAAUGUUGUUAUAUUUGGGUAUAUUAUGAAAUAAGACUAGAGAAUAUUUAUGUACUUGCUUUUUAGAUUAAAGUUCUAUUAAAUUGUGCUAAUGUCUUUACUUGAUAGAUUUGCAGACUAAUGCUAAUGUCUAUUAAAUUCUGGUGUUUUGGUUUGAAGCAUCAAUUUUUCUGUGUUCGUUUAGUUGAUUUGUUUGAUUUUCUCUUUAGAAGGUUGCUAUGCUCAAUAUAUGUUGAUGUAAUCUAUUUAAAAUUUCUGAGCGGUUUUAAAAUUUAUUUUGAUUAUUAUGUGAGGUUAGGCAACAAGGUGAAUAAUAUCGAUGAUUAUUACUUUGAUUAUUUAUGGUGCGAAGAUUAUAAGUAUAUCAAGGUGAUCUUUUCUGAUUGUCCUGAAACUUCUGCAUCUCAGCCGAGGUUAGUCUCAAUUGAUCUCAAUUGUCUCCUUGUUCCACUAUUAGCUAAAACAAUAAGGUCGUUGAUUUUCUGACUUGCUUAAUAGAUUAGUUGUUUCAUGUUUGGAAACUUUUGAUGCUCUUGGUCUUUAUGUCCUGUAGCCAUUGAAAAAAAUUUGGUUCUCAUUCUUCACUUAACAAGUCCAGUGGCGCAUACAUAUGUAAACUAGGAAUUCAUUGGUUUCAUUGUUGUAAUCUAUCUUAUUCAAUAUCUAAUUCAUUUCCAUGGUUGAGAUAGCUAAGUUGUCAAUUUCCUCGAGUAUUAAUUUUUGCAUUCAUGUUAUUUCCCAUUCAUAUUUAACUUGUCAAUAUCAAUUUUUGUUUUAAUGCACUAUAAUUAUUUUCCCAAUUCUGCAGGGUAUAUGAAGAUUGGAUAACCAGGAAUGUAGCAGAUGUAGUUUGCAUUGUAUUUUUAUUACCAAGAUUUACUUGAUUAAGAAAAUGUAUUGUAUUUUUAGUACCUUGCAAUGUGUAUAGUUAUUGGCAAGUUCAACUAGUCAGUCUAUUUCUCAUAUGUAUUAUUCUUUUUAACUUUUGGAUUUUAAUUGUGUUAUUAAUUUAUUAUUUUAAAUUCUAAAACUAAAUUCAUUAA